UCCAUGGACAUCUGUGGGAAGAGGGCCCCCUAGGCCUGCGCAGAUCAGUGGUACAGGGCCUGGUGUUCGUUGAAAGGAGGCCACCUCUCCCUGCUUACCUCCGGGACCCAUUGGCCUCUCUCAGUUCAUUCCAGUGGCUUCGAAUUCUGCAGCUCUGUUUCAACCUUCCCUGUGUCAGGAUGGGGAAGCCGGCAUGAAGAACGGGGCUGAUUUUGUUUGUUCAUGGUUUAUGUUCAAACUUUGACAUCUUAUUUCAGAGCGAUGUGAGAAAGGCACUGAUAAGCUGCCGGCAGGCGUUUCUCCUAAGGGGUCUGCCAAAAACUGUGGGAUUUCAGGGUCUGGUUUUCUUCGCCUUCUUCAGGUCUGUUACAUUUCCCAGAAUGGUUCCCAGCGCUGGAGAUAAUUCCUUUUCGGAGAACCUACAUUUCUCACCUGCUGAUUGCAAUUAGCCACUGCCAGCUGGGGCCUGGUGUGCAGCUGAAAAGCUAACAAGAAGUGGAGACCACGCGGAACCCAGACAGGGCAGAGGAUGUGAAUAAAUAAGGAAUAGUGCCCGUGUGUAUGAGCGGCUCCUGUGAAUCCAAGGUUUCCCGACCCUCUGGAUGGCCCUCCCUCUUCCGGCUCUGUACUCCCCACCCCUCCCCCUCACUAUUUUAUUUUUAAUAUAUUUUGGUCUCUGGCUUUGUAGCCUACACUUAACAUCACAGUCACGAAUUUACCACUAAGUACAUUUUUUUAGGCAAUAAACAGCCUCAGAAGAAAAAUGAAAUCGGACUAGGGCUUCUGUUCCAAUCAUGUUUGUGAGCUGUGGUGGAAUCAGGCAGGCCCCGUGUGCAGGCCCUGGAACUAACCUCGGAUAUGAGGACUGGCAGGACCUGGAGAGGCCUUGGGGACCACCGGAUCGGAACCCCUUUGUUUUAUGGGCGAGGACAUGGAAUCCCAGGAGGGGGGAGCAUGACUGAUCCAAAGACUUGGAGGAAGUUGCAGGGCUGGCUGAAAUCUAUGUCUCCUGACCACCAGCCCGGUCUCUAACCACUGAACUGCCUUGCCUUUGUCCAUUCUCUAGAGUUUGUGAGGAAAGCACCAAGGAGAUCACCAAGGGUUGGAAGGGGAGGAAACCUGAAGUCAAGGAUGGUAAAGCCACUGUCUCCAGCCACCAACUUCGUCUCCUGUGAGGCACUCAGGGAAGAAGCCUAACACAAAGUCCAUUCUCCAAAGAUAAGCAAUUCUGUGCAGGUUUGAGAUGGCUAAUGCCUCCCCCUUCCCGAGCAUCAGUCCCUCGUGUUUUCCAGAGGCUUAGAUGAGACGGUCUCAGACUUUGCAAUACUAACACGCCAUGCUUCCAUGAACUUGUGAAUUAUGCAAAGUGAUCAGAGUUGUGAGAUGCCUGCACAAUCACACCACUCCCCCCCCCCCCGCCCGGUCUCCUGUGAACUUCCCCAGAGGGGAGCUGACAAAUUGUUAAAUGGACUCAUGCCGAAAGUGCAGAAAGUUCUGAGUGUCUAAUGGGGGACCCUGCAACAUCCUGGAACUUGGGACCCAUUGGUUGCCUGCCUCUCCAUAAGUCUCAAUAGAUAAAACCAAGAAAAAAAAUAGCUGGGCUUGGGCUAGCUUUUAAAGAGUCUGAGCAAAGAGAAUGCAGGUAAUCUGUAAGGAGGAGGCAAGAGCUCGGAUUCCAAAAACGAAUGUCCCUGGGGGCGCCUGGGUGGCUCAGUGGGUUAAAGCCUCUGCCUUCG